rnacentral:rRNA from 1 species
GACGAACGCUGGCGGCGUGCUUAACACAUGCAAGUCGAACGGAAAGGCCCUGCUUUUGUGGGGUGCUCGAUUGGCGAACGGGUGAGUAACACGUGAGUAACCUGCCCUUGACUUUGGGAUAACUUCAGGAAACUGGGGCUAAUACCGGGUAUGAGCUCCUGCUGCAUGUUGUGGGUUGGAAAGUUUCGGCGGUUGGGGAUGGACUCGCGGCUUAUCAGCUUGUUGGUGGGGUAGUGGCUUACCAAGGCUUUGACGGGUAGCCGGCCUGAGAGGGUGACCGGCCACAUUGGGACUGAGAUACGGCCCAGAAUGCUACGGGAGGCAGCAGUGGGGAAUAUUGCACAAUGGGCGGAAGCCUGAUGCAGCAACGCCGCGUGCGGGAUGACGGCCUUCGGGUUGUAAACCGCUUUCGCCUGUGACGAAGCGUGAGUGACGGUAAUGGGUAAAGAAGCACCGGCUAACUACGUG